UUUAUUUUGGGGUUUGGGUUUUGUUGUUUGGUUUUGUGUUUUUUUACACUGUGACCAUGGAUAUAGAUUGAAACCCUCUUUGAUCAUUUCUCUUCUAAUCUUUGUAUUAUAGCACAAACAGGUCUGAAUGAACCAGAGGACAUAAAAGCUUUUUUUAAACAAAUUCUAAAUUUGAAACAAUAUUCCCCUCUACAAAAUUUUCAUUGCCUGCAUUUCCUCCUGUGCUGAUAUAUAUAUUGGUCCCCUAUGUCACUAAUCAAGGUCCACUUGAAAAAAAACCCACAACAAAUGACAAUUGCAACAUACAAAUGACAGCACAAAAUGACAGUACUCUAAAGGGCUAAAUCUGUUUUUCAUCCAGGCAUAGCAUACUUAAAAACUGUUCACUGAAAAUAAGAAGAGCAUGAAAAUGUUUUUGGUUUUGUACUUUUGAAUGUGACUUAGAUGUAUUAUAUACUGAGGGAGCAUUUAUUAUCCUGUAUCUACUGAGAUCCAGUGUGGAUAACCUGCAUCCCGUGCUUUAACUUUUGAACGUUAUGAUGAAGCAGUUUAUCUUGUUUAUGGCACAGGAGGUUAAGGAGGUGGAACACUGCAUUUGUAAUACUGUGCAGUUGGGGUUGGGGAUGGUGUUUCUUGUGGUUUUGAUAAACAAGUAAAAAAACCCCAAAAGCACAAAUGUGUUCCAUUGCCAUCUAAGUCCACUCCUUUUGUUUGAUUCAAUGUAUUUUUGUUGUUACUGAAUGCAGCAAAUGUACUGAAUAAGAAAUGUUCAAAUGAAUCUUUAAACAAUCUCUUCCUGCCCACAGUCUUUUGAAGCCUGAAAAUCUUGCAGGUUAUUUAUGGGCUUGUAUAUAGCAGCUAUUGCAAUAUUUUUUUUCAGAACAGCAUCAUUUUGUCAAUGGUAUGAAAUCUUAAUUGAAUGAGAUGUGAGUUUUAAAAUAGGUAAUGUAGCAAGAAUUACUUUGCCAGUAAGUAGUAAAAUAAUUUAGUUUUGUUGGUUUUUUCCCCAAAAUAAAUAAGAAAUCUUAAUUUC
rnacentral:lncRNA from 1 species